GAAGGUUUAGCUUAACUAAAGCGUUUGAUUUGCGUUCAGUUGAUGCAAGAUGUAAGCUUGCAGCCUUUA
ensembl:Mt_tRNA